rnacentral:rRNA from 1 species
GACGUAGGGCGCGAGCGUUGUCCGGAUUUAUUGGGCGUAAAGAGCUCGUAGGCGGCUUGUCGCGUCGGCUGUGAAAUCCCGUGGCUCAACUGCGGGUCUGCAGCCGAUACGGGCGGACUAGAGUUCGGUAGGGGAGACUGGAAUUCCUGGUGUAGCGGUGAAAUGCGCAGAUAUCAGGAGGAACACCGGUGGCGAAGGCGGGUCUCUGGGCCUUACCUGACGCUGAGGAGCGAAAGCGUGGGGAGCGAACAGG